GGGGCUGUGGCUUAGUGAAAAGAGCAUUUGCUUUACAUACAGGUGGUUCCAGGUUCAAUCUCUGGCAUCUCCA
rnacentral:tRNA from 1 species